GAGUUUGAACCUGGCUCAGGAUGAACGCUGGCGGCGUGCCUAAUACAUGCAAGUCGAGCGAACAGAUAAGGAGCUUGCUCCUUUGAAGUUAGCGGCGGACGGGUGAGUAACACGUGGGUAACCUACCUAUAAGACUGGGAUAACUUCGGGAAACCGGAGCUAAUACCGGAUAACAUUUAGAACCGCAUGGUUCUAAAGUGAAAGAUGGUUUUGCUAUCACUUAUAGAUGGACCCGCGCCGUAUUAGCUAGUUGGUAAGGUAACGGCUUACCAAGGCGACGAUACGUAGCCGACCUGAGAGGGUGAUCGGCCACACUGGAACUGAGACACGGUCCAGACUCCUACGGGAGGCAGCAGUAGGGAAUCUUCCGCAAUGGGCGAAAGCCUGGCGGAGCAACGCCGCGUGAGUGAUGAAGGGUUUCGGCUCGUAAAACUCUGUUAUUAGGGAAGAACAAAUGUGUAAGUAACUGUGCACAUCUUGACGGUACCUAAUCAGAAAGCCACGGCUAACUACGUGCCAGCAGCCGCGGUAAUACGUAGGUGGCAAGCGUUAUCCGGAAUUAUUGGGCGUAAAGCGCGCGUAGGCGGUUUCUUAAGUCUGAUGUGAAAGCCCACGGCUCAACCGUGGAGGGUCAUUGGAAACUGGGAAACUUGAGUGCAGAAGAGGAAAGUGGAAUUCCAUGUGUAGCGGUGAAAUGCGCAGAGAUAUGGAGGAACACCAGUGGCGAAAGCGACUUUCUGG
rnacentral:rRNA from 1 species